GACAAACUAAUUGAAUGCAUCUAAUAAAUCUGUCAGUCUAUUUAUACGCAAGCUCUUGUAAGUUAGAUAGUUGACUUGAACCAUUUUUUCUCCGAAAACUUGGUAUCAAGUGUCGACCAAAGACAGGUUGCAGAUCUGGUGCACUCUGGUUUUCUCGAAAGGAGAUGUACAUUUUGUUUGAAGGACAUGUAAAAAGAAUUGAAAUUGAAAAAGCAAAGCAAUAUCGAAUACGAAGAAUAAUGGAACCAAAAAAUGAUCAAAUAGGCUGAAUUUCGUAUCAUUUAAAUGUAUAUUACAACAUCCACGUGUAAAUGUAUACCAACGAUUGAAAAGUAAAAGAAACAGAUAGAUAUUCUGCAAUUACUCAAUAUCGGUAUAUCUCAUAUUGCAACCAAUAUGCCUCGGUAUUCAGGUAUACUAGAAUUACAGUUUAGCCAUCGUGUAAAGAAUUGUAGAAUCAUAUAUUUGAUAGAUAUAUAUAUAUAUUUACAAAGAUAUAAUAAAAUAUUAAUAAAUUCUUGAAAAAAUUUUUAAAUAAUCAUGGAUUGAUUCAUGGAUUGAUAUAAGUAUGUGAAUAAAUUGUUUUGAGAUUAUAAAGUUGUUAUUUGUUUGCAAAUAAUAAUUUGAGAAAAUUAGAAAAAACUUUUUUCGAAUAAUCAAAAAUGACAAAAAAAGACGGGGAGGAGGGAAGAAACCAAUAAGAGAGGGAAAGAAUGAAUACAAGUUACCAAGUGAACGGGAACGUAAUCGGACUAUCUUUGUUGGUUACAGUUAUUAUGCAAUUGACAUUGGCAAAGUGUAACAGUAUGAACACAGCCAACAACUAAGAUUUCAUAAGUAUCGCCGGAGGCGAAGAAGCGUUCAUAUAUGUUAUAAUUGCUGUAAGCUAACGUCAUCAAAAUGCUUUCUUCAUUCUUGUUUCUUUAAAGAUUUCUUUAGAAAUUAUUAAAUUAUUUGAUUCUUUUUAUUUAAAAUUUCUGAUAGAUAAAUGAUUGAAAUUAAUAAAUAUCAUGUAUUUUCAUCAAACAUAAAUAUAAUAAUAUACAUAAAUGUAAUAUUCAAAGAUAUGGGAUAUAAGGAAACAUAAUUAAUCGUUUCAAUAGAUUCAUUAUUAAAAAACUUUCGAUAUAAUAGAUUUCAUUUAUUUAUUAUUUUUCUAUAAAAUAAAAUAUAAUACAUCGAUAUGUUUCUACAUUUUAUUCUGAAUAAUAUCUUAUUAAUAGCACAAACUUAUAAUUCAUUGAUUGGUUGUAUUAGAAUAACAUUCUAAAUAAUUUCUAUAAUAGAUCAUUAUACCCGUUAUAUAUAUGUAUAAAUUUGAUUGUACGUAAAGUAAAGAAUCAUUUAGCGAUUCUCUAUCUUAUGAUGUAGCUGUAGGAAUGUCGGAAAAAAAAAAUA